rnacentral:lncRNA from 1 species
AUGUUAACUCAUUGGCCCCUAAGAGAUUUCUGGAAAAUCAGGCAUUUUCGAAAAUUUGCAAUAAUAUGCAAAUUAUAUGCAAAUUAGCAGACUCUUGAUGCUGUAACUGCUGCUCAUCUAUUAAACUAUGUAUUGACAUUUGGGGGCGCAUGGCAUGGGUGGGGGGUGGGGCGGGAGGUGGAACAUUUUCUCGUGGGUUUGAACCCACCCCACUGAAAAAUGGUCAUUUUCCGUCUAUUUUCCGAUUUUAAAACGACCUUGAGAGGUGAACAUUAACCAGACUGUGUUUCUGUGUCAUUCAAGUAUUACCCUAUAGUUACAGCAGUCCAUGCAUGCUAACUGGGAGUAUAUGGGACUUAAGUGUCUUGCUGGCGAAUUAUUAUCGUCAAGUCAGGUCUGCCUAAAUGUCCGUUUUUACGGAUUUUUGACAAAACGGUGACCUAGAUUUUACAGACUAGAUUCCUAUUGGCCAUAUUAUACCUCUUUGUGUUCCUAUACCACCUAUGCAUGCAUUUACGAUAAUAGUGUAUACCUACAAUGACUACCAGUUAAGUAGUGGCCAUCAACAGAUGCCCACCCCCACCUGAU